AAGUCGUAACAAGGUUUCCGUAGGUGAACCUGCGGAAGGAUCAUUAAAACGUAUCCACGUAUCAACCAAUCGUGAACUGUAACCUCUUUGGAACUUAACGGAAUGGCCUCUUCGAUUCCGCUUCGUGAUGAAAAGGCAAACACUCUUCGGAAUGUUUGUCCUUUUGGAAUUGAUUGGGUCGCGCUUUCGGGCGACGUGUUCUAAAGUGGUUCUUUUACCUCAUCACGGGUAAACCUCAUUCAAACCAUUAUUAACACUUUGUACCUUUCUUGAACUGAACUGUACGUUUUGAGCGCGCCUUCGGGUGACUCACUCGUAACAUUUUAUCUAAAUUAAGAACAACUCUUAACAACGGAUAUCUUGGUUCUCGUAAAGAUGAAGAACGCAGC
rnacentral:misc_RNA from 1 species